rnacentral:rRNA from 1 species
GACGAACGCUGGCGGCGUGCCUAACACAUGCAAGUCGAACGGAAAGGCCCUGCUUUUGUGGGGUGCUCGAGUGGCGAACGGGUGAGUAACACGUGAGUAACCUGUCCUUGACUUUGGGAUAACUUCAGGAAACUGGGGCUCAUACCGGAUAGGAGCUCCUGCUGCAUGGUGGGGGUUGGAAAGUUUCGGCGGUUGGGGAUGGACUCGCGGCUUAUGAGCUUGUUGGGGGGGUAGUGGCUUACCAAGGCUUUGACGGGUAGCCGGCCUGGGAGGGUGACCGGCCACAUUGGGACUGAGAUACGGCCCAGACUCCUACGGGAGGCAGCAGUGGGGAAUAUUGCACAGUGGGCGGGAGCCUGAUGCAGCAACGCCGCGUGCGGGAUGACGGCCUUCGGGUUGUAAACCGCUUUCGCCUGUGACGAAGCGUGAGUGACGGUAAUGGGUAAAGAAGCACCGGCUAACUACGUG